GUGCCAGCUAUGUACUGAUAUCACUCAAGAGUUCUUAAACCACAGGCAAAUUGUAGCGCAAAUAGGGUUGCGCAUCAAAGAAAAUGACCAGUCUUCCCAUAUGCGAGUGAAGCAUAUGGGAAGACUGGCCAUUUUCUCUUUGAUGCGCAACCCUAUUUGUGCUACAGUUCGCCUGUGCUUAAACUUAAUGCCAAUACAGAUUAGGUGGUGUGACAGAUAUCUGGAGACGUCGGUUGGUAUAUACACCAGUCCGUUAAUAUUUUGAUUAGCUUCAUCUGAGACAACUUCAACGCCACCUACUCCAGCAGCAUCGCCUACAACUGUCACAUCGUCUACAACCAUCACUACAUCAUCUAACUCACCCAAUGUGGGUGUUCGGUGCGAGGUUUGUAAUGGCGGCCUCUGUGGGGUCGUCCCGGGGUUGCGACCACUGACGACAUGCCCAGCCGCAUCCCCUUACUGUCUCAACACAAUACUCAACGAUGACAGGGGUUCCAGGACCAUCUCCAAAAGGUGUGGCAAUGGUGAGGACUGUGAGAGCAUGUGGUGGCUAUCAUCGUCAGACCAAGAAGUGUGUGUCAACCUGAACGUGGAUGACUUCUACCCCUUUAGCUUCACUUGCUCCUACUGCUGUGUCAGGGAUGGCUGCAACACCAACGUGUACCCAAAGACCUCCACACUAUACAUGGGAGCUGACCAGUAUCAGAUGUCAUAGAAUACAUACUUUACAGAUGGAAGCAAAACACUGAGAUGUACAAAUAUUACCUAAUAAAUGAGUUGAUUUCUUAUAAUC